rnacentral:rRNA from 1 species
GCCCAGAUGGGAUUAGCUUGUUGGUGAGGUAACGGCUCACCAAGGCGACGAUCCCUAGCUGGUCUGAGAGGAUGACCAGCCACACUGGAACUGAGACACGGUCCAGACUCCUACGGGAGGCAGCAGUGGGGAAUAUUGCACAAUGGGCGCAAGCCUGAUGCAGCCAUGCCGCGUGUAUGAAGAAGGCCUUCGGGUUGUAAAGUACUUUCAGCGGGGAGGAAGGUGUUGUGGUUAAUAACCGCAGCAAUUGACGUUACCCGCAGAAGAAGCACCGGCUAACUCCGUGCCAGCAGCCGCGGUAAUACGGAGGGUGCAAGCGUUAAUCGGAAUUACUGGGCGUAAAGCGCACGCAGGCGGUCUGUCAAGUCGGAUGUGAAAUCCCCGGGCUCAACCUGGGAACUGCAUUCGAAACUGGCAGGCUUGAGUCUUGUAGAGGGGGGUAGAAUUCCAGGUGUAGCGGUGAAAUGCGUAGAGAUCUGGAGGAAUACCGGUGGCGAAGGCGGCCCCCUGGACAAAGACUGACGCUCAGGU